rnacentral:rRNA from 1 species
UAGGGAAUCUUCGGCAAUGGGGGCAACCCUGACCGAGCAACGCCGCGUGAGUGAAGAAGGUUUUCGGAUCGUAAAGCUCUGUGUAAGUCAAGAACGGGUGUGAGAGUGGAAAGUUCACACUGUGACGGUAGCUUACCAGAAAGGGACGGCUAACUACUGCCAGCAGCCGCGGUAAUACGUAGGUCCCGAGCGUUGUCCGGAUUUAUUGGGGCGUAAACGA